rnacentral:rRNA from 1 species
UAGGGAAUCUUCGGCAAUGGACGAAAGUCUGACCGAGCAACGCCGCGUGAGUGAAGAAGGUUUUCGGAUCGUAAAACUCUGUUGUUAGAGAAGAACAAGGACGUUAGUAACUGAACGUCCCCUGACGGUAUCUAACCAGAAAGCCACGGCUAACUACGUGCCAGCAGCCGCGGUAAUACGUAGGUGGCAAGCGUUGUCCGGAUUUAUUGGGCGUAAAGCCAGCGCAGGCGGUUUCUUAAGUCUGAUGUGAAAGCCCCCGGCUCAACCGGGGAGGGUCAUUGGAAACUGGGAGACUUGAGUGCAGAAGAGGAGAGUGGAAUUCCAUGUGUAGCAGUGAAAUGCGUAGAUAUAUGGGGGAACACCAGUGGCGAGGGCGGCUCUCUGGUCUGUAACUGACGCUGAGGCUCGAAAGCGUGGGGAGCAAACAGG